UGGGGAAUAUUGGACAAUGGGCGCAAGCCUGAUCCAGCAAUGCCGCGUGAGUGAUGAAGGCCUUAGGGUUGUAAAGCUCUUUUACCCGGGAAGAUAAUGACUGUACCGGGAGAAUAAGCCCCGGCUAACUCCGUGCCAGCAGCCGCGGUAAUACGGAGGGGGCUAGCGUUGUUCGGAAUUACUGGGCGUAAAGCGCACGUAGGCGGCUUUGUAAGUUAGGGGUGAAAGCCUGGUGCUCAACACCAGAACUGCCUUUGAUACUGCAUGGCUUGAAUCCGAGAGAGGUGAGUGGAAUUCCGAGUGUAGAGGUGAAAUUCGUAGAUAUUCGGAAGAACACCAGUGGCGAAGGCGGCUCACUGGCUCGGUAUUGACGCUGAGGUGCGAAAGCGUGGGGAGCAAACAGG
rnacentral:rRNA from 1 species